rnacentral:rRNA from 1 species
UGCGGAGGGCGCAAGCGUUGUUCGGAAUUACUGGGCGUAAAGCGCGUGUAGGCGGCCAGGUAAGUCGGAUGUGAAAGCCCGGGGCCCAACCCAGGAACUGCACCCGAUACUGCCCGGCUGGAGUCCCGGAGAGGAUGGCGGAAUUUCCGGUGUAGAGGUGAAAUUCGUAGAUAUCGGAAGGAACACCAGUGGCGAAGGCGGCCAUCUGGACGGUGACUGACGCUGAGACGCGAAAGCGUGGGGAGCAAACAGG